UACGGAGGGUGCAAGCGUUAUCCGGAUUUACUGGGUUUAAAUGGUGUGUAGGCGGGCUUUUAAGUCAGUGGUGAAAUCUCCGAGCCCAACUUGGAAACUGCCAUUGAUACUAUUAGUCUUGAAUUCUGUUGAGGUGGGCGGAAUAGGUCAUGUAGCGGUGAGAUGCAUAGAUAUGACCUAGAACACCGAUUGCGAAGGCAGCUCACUAAACAGAUAUUGACGCUGAGGCACGAAAGCGUGGGGAUCAAACAGG
rnacentral:rRNA from 1 species